rnacentral:lncRNA from 1 species
UUUUCUAUCUUUUUCUUUUGUUUCUUUUCUUCUUCUCCAUUAAUCUCCAUUAAUGAUGUCUUUGUUUUUCCUCUUCCUCUUCUUCUUCAUUAAAAGAGUGAUGGUGAAUUUUAUCAUGAUCGGUGUUUAUUUUUCAAUAAAAAUAAUAAAGAUACAUAAACAAGACCGAUAAAAAGGACAUGGUAUGUUAGCCACCAUUUUUUUCGGCGAAA